rnacentral:rRNA from 1 species
ACGAACGCUGGCGGCGUGCCUAAUACAUGCAAGUAGAACGCUGAAGAGAGGAGCUUGCUCUUCUUGGAUGAGUUGCGAACGGGUGAGUAACGCGUAGGUAACCUGCCUUGUAGCGGGGGAUAACUAUUGGAAACGAUAGCUAAUACCGCAUAACAAUGGAUGACACAUGUCAUUUAUUUGAAAGGGGCAAUUGCUCCACUACAAGAUGGACCUGCGUUGUAUUAGCUAGUAGGUGAGGUAACGGCUCACCUAGGCGACGAUACAUAGCCGACCUGAGAGGGUGAUCGGCCACACUGGGACUGAGACACGGCCCAGACUCCUACGGGAGGCAGCAGUAGGGAAUCUUCGGCAAUGGGGGCAACCCUGACCGAGCAACGCCGCGUGAGUGAAGAAGGUUUUCGGAUCGUAAAGCUCUGUUGUAAGUCAAGAACGAGUGUGAGAGUGGAAAGUUCACACUGUGACGGUAGCUUACCAGAAAGGGACGGCUAACUACGUGCCAGCAGCCGCGGUAAUACGUAGGUCCCGAGCGUUGUCCGGAUUUAUUGGGCGUAAAGCGAGCGCAGGCGGUUUGAUAAGUCUGAAGUUAAAGGCUGUGGCUCAACCAUAGUUCGCUUUGGAAACUGUCAAACUUGAGUGCAGAAGGGGAGAGUGGAAUUCCAUGUGUAGCGGUGAAAUGCGUAGAUAUAUGGAGGAACACCGGUGGCGAAAGCGGCUCUCUGGUCUGUAACUGACGCUGAGGCUCGAAAGCGUGGGGAGCGAACAGGAUUAGAUACCCUGGUAGUCCACGCCGUAAACGAUGAGUGCUAGGUGUUGGAUCCUUUCCGGGAUUCAGUGCCGCAGCUAACGCAUUAAGCACUCCGCCUGGGGAGUACGACCGCAAGGUUGAAACUCAAAGGAAUUGACGGGGGCCCGCACAAGCGGUGGAGCAUGUGGUUUAAUUCGAAGCAACGCGAAGAACCUUACCAGGUCUUGACAUCCCGAUGCUAUUUCUAGAGAUAGAAAGUUACUUCGGUACAUCGGUGACAGGUGGUGCAUGGUUGUCGUCAGCUCGUGUCGUGAGAUGUUGGGUUAAGUCCCGCAACGAGCGCAACCCUUAUUGUUAGUUGCCAUCAUUCAGUUGGGCACUCUAGCGAGACUGCCGGUAAUAAACCGGAGGAAGGUGGGGAUGACGUCAAAUCAUCAUGCCCCUUAUGACCUGGGCUACACACGUGCUACAAUGGUUGGUACAACGAGUUGCGAGUCGGUGACGGCAAGCUAAUCUCUUAAAGCCAAUCUCAGUUCGGAUUGUAGGCUGCAACUCGCCUACAUGAAGUCGGAAUCGCUAGUAAUCGCGGAUCAGCACGCCGCGGUGAAUACGUUCCCGGGCCUUGUACACACCGCCCGUCACACCACGAGAGUUUGUAACACCCGAAGUCGGUGAGGUAACCUUUUGGAGCCAGCCGCCUAAGGUGGGAUAGAUGAUUGGGGUG